GAAAUGCGAUAAGUAAUGUGAAUUGCAGAGCUCAGUGAAUCAUCGAAUCUUUGAACGCACAUUGCGCCCCUUGGCAUUCCGAGGGGCAUGCCUGUUCGAUCGUCAUUUCAACCCUCAAGCUCUGCUUGGUAUUGGGCUUCGCCGGGCAACCGGCCUGCCUUAAAUUCAUAGGCGGUAACGUCCGGCUUCAAGCGUGCUGAACUCAACUGUUCGCUUUGGAGGCCGGGCUUUGCCUGCCUAGCAAACGGGUCUCGCGCCCAACUUUUCUCAAGGUUGACCUCGGAUCAGGUAGGGAUACCCGCUGAACUUAAGC
rnacentral:misc_RNA from 1 species